UACAGAGGCCUCGAGCGUUAGGCGGAAUCACUGGGCUUAAAGCGUGUGUAGGCGGACUUCUAAGUGCCUUGUGAAAUCCCACGGCUCACCCGUGGAACGGCUGGGCAUACUGGGAGUCUUGAGCCACCUAGGGGCUGCCGGAACAAAUGGUGGAGCGGUGAAAUGCGUAGAUAUCAUUUGGAACGCCAACGGAGAAAUCAGGUAGCUGGGGGUGUGCUGACGCUGAGACACGAAAGCCAGGGGAGCGAACGGG
rnacentral:rRNA from 1 species